CGAAGUUUACCUUGGCGAAAUUUGAACUCAGAAUGUAAAGCCAGCAUUCAAUCAUGAAUGGUGAGUAAACCGGGAGAAACCCAAUGUCGAAUCUCGUCGGCCCGCAGGUCAUCGAGAGCGGUGGUGAAAGGUCGUACACGGUCAGUCGUUUCACCCCACUGGGUUUGGAAUCCUAGAGCGAGUGCCAAACCCAUCCAGAGCCGACAGCGAAAGGCAGUGUUCUUCGGCCCGAGAGUCGGGUAGCUUGGGAACACAGCCCAAAGCGGGUGGUAAGCUCCAUCCAAAGCUAAAUACAAGGAGGAGUCCGAUAGUCGACAAAUGCUGCGAUGGAAAGUUGAAAAGAACUUUGGAGAGAGAGUUCAAGAGACCUUGAAAAUGCCCAGGGAUAAACGCGUAGGACUGCUUUCCGUGAUUGCGAAGGGACUCAGUCCGCUGUUUCUCACCAAGGCAUUUUAUCUGCUGUGCUAACGAUUCCGCUUGCACGCCGCUUUCUUAGGCAUUAUGAUAUUGACAAUAAAUAAGAAUAGCUGCUGUUGAAUUUAUUUAUUUAUUUAUUUAUUUACUUAAACAGUCUUAACGUCUGAGUAAAGCAGGUAAACCAUGAUGGACCGAGAAAGAAAUAUAAUAAUCUUUUCAUAAAACAAGA
rnacentral:ncRNA from 1 species